GUGUCAGCAGCCGCGGUAAUACGUAGGGGGCAAGCGUUGUUCGGAAUUACUGGGUGUAAAGGGCUCGUAGGUGGCCAACUAAGUCAGACGUGAAAUCCCUCAGCUUGACUGGGGAACUGCGUCUGAUACUGGAUGGCUUGGGUUUGGGAGAGGGAUGCGGAAUUCCAGGUGUAGCGGUGAAAUGUGUAGAGAUCGGGAGGAACAUCUGUGGCGAAGGCGUCCACCUGGACCAGCACUGACGCUGAGGCACGAAAGCGUGGGGAGCAAACAGGAUUAGAAACCCUCGUAGUCC
rnacentral:rRNA from 1 species